AUGAGAGAGAGGAGCUUGAAGCUGAACUUGAGGGAAGGAGGCUGCUUGAUAUCGACUUCCCUGAAGGUCCUUUUGGUACUAAGGAAUCUCCCGCUGUCGUA